AACGCGAAGAACCUUACCUGGGCUCGAAAUGUAGUGGAAUGGGGUGGAAACAUCCCCGUCUCGCAAGAGACUGCUAUAUAGGUGCUGCAUGGCUGUCGUCAGCUCGUGUCGUGAGAUGUUGGGUUAAGUCCCGCAACGAGCGCAACCCUUAUCCCUAGUUGCCAUCGGGUCAAGCCGGGCACUCUAGUGAAACCGCCCAGGAUAACUGGGAGGAAGGUGGGGAUGACGUCAAGUCCUCAUGGCCUUUAUGGGUAGGGCUACACACGUGCUACAAUGGGCACUACAAAGGGAAGCAAAGCUGCAAAGUGGAGCGGACCUCAAAAAGGUGCCCGUAGUCCGGAUUGGAGUCUGCAACUCGACUCCAUGAAGCUGGAAUCGCUAGUAAUCGCAAAUCAGAACGUUGCGGUGAAUACGUUCCCGGGCCUUGUACACACCGGCUAC
rnacentral:rRNA from 1 species